UACGAAGGGGGCUAGCGUUGUUCGGAAUUACUGGGCGUAAAGCGCGCGCAGGCGGUUCUCCAAGUCAGUGGUGAAAGCCCGGAGCUCAACUCCGGAAUUGCCAUUGAAACUGUUGAACUCGAGGACGAGAGAGGUGAGUGGAAUUCCCAGUGUAGAGGUGAAAUUCGUAGAUAUUGGGAAGAACACCGGUGGCGAAGGCGGCUCACUGGCUCGUUUCUGACGCUCAGGCGCGACAGCGUGGGGAGCGAACAGG
rnacentral:rRNA from 1 species